UACGGAGGGGGGCUAGCGUUGUUCGGAAUUACUGGGCGUAAAGCGCGCGUAGGCGGCUUGUAAGUCAGAGGUGAAAUCCUGGAGCUUAACUCCGAGAACUGCCUUUGAGACUGGCAUGCGUUGGAAUCGUGGAGAGGUAAGUGGAAUUCCGAGUGUAGAGGUGAAAUUCGAUAGAUAUUGGAAGGAACACCAGUGGCGAAGGCGACUUACUGGACACGGUAUUGACGCGUGAGGUGCGAAAGCGUGGGGAGCAAACAGG
rnacentral:rRNA from 1 species